AUUACAUCAUAGGAGUCAAUUGUUGCUCCUAAUGUCUUAUUCUUCAACACUCCUCCAUUACCAACCACCACACACCUUUUACAUGGCACUCUGUUGGGCAAACAGACAAGGGAAAGACUGAGUCAUCACAUUUACAAAACCGGGUGAUUCUAAGAACCUGCUCCUGCUUUCUGGAACCAAGUUAAAUUCCACUUGACACGACCCUUUUCUCCAGCCUGCAGAGCCCGAACUCAUAUCUUUGCUCAACAUCUGCCCAGAGACAUAGAAAACAGAGAGCCCCACGUUCUUCCUUUUUCCUGUGUGGAUACUGGAAUUAAAUCCCUGAUGAAAGGCUUGGCAGAAAACACCCAUAUCUCCCGAGCCAUCUUACUAGCCCCAGGACUUGCUGUUUUUAAAGGAAUGAAGAUGUGAUGGGUUGAACUCCAGCUUGCAUGUUGGCCCCUAAAGAGGAAGCCAUGUACUGAGGAACGGCAGGAUCCAACACAGAGAGGCCUUGGCCCUGAUGACCACAGAACUGCUGAGACAGCCCUGCAGAGUGCAUGCAUGUAAACAAACAGAGACAGACAGACAGAUGGACGGAUGAAUGGACAGAUGGAUAGAUGAACACACAGAUGGACAGAUGAACAGGCAGACAGAAAGAGGGAGAGGGAGAGAGAGAGCAGAAAGACUACAACGGGGCUACAGGGCAGGACCUGGCAGACUUCGCUGCAGGCUCUACACAGGCACUAUCUUACUUCAUCCAAUGGCUGUGUGCUCAUAUUUAAACAUGCAGGCGGAAACCAGAGUGAGGCUAGAUCUUUACACGGCUGCGUGACAAAUGGAAAUAGCAAUGGAGCAAAACCGACAUGCUUCCAAUUGUAAUCCCCUUCAUUACAAACUGGCAUUGCAAAGGAAGCAGAUAAGUACAUAGUGUUUCCCGACCAAAUGUAUGUCCUCAGCUUUGGCACUGGCAGUGACAGCGG
rnacentral:lncRNA from 1 species